UACGAAGGGGGCUAGCGUUGUUCGGAAUCACUGGGCGUAAAGGGCGCGUAGGCGGCUUUAUAAGUCGGGGGUGAAAGCCUGUGGCUCAACCACAGAAUUGCCUUCGAUACUGUAGAGCUUGAGACCGGAAGAGGUAAGUGGAACUGCGAGUGUAGAGGUGAAAUUCGUAGAUAUUCGGAGGAACACCAGUGGCGAAGGCGGCUCACUGGCUCGGUACUGACGCUGAGGUGCGAAAGCGUGGGGAGCAAACAGG
rnacentral:rRNA from 1 species